rnacentral:rRNA from 1 species
UACGUAGGGUGCAAGCGUUUGUCCGGAAUUAUUUGGGCGUAAAGGGCGCGUAGGCGGCUUGGCAAGUUGGAUGGUGAAAUCCCUCGGCUUAAACCGAGGGAACUGCCGUCCAAACUGCUUUGCUUGAGGCCGGGAGAGGCGAGUGGAAUUCCCAGUGUGAGCGGUGAAAUGCGUAGAUAUUGGGAGGAACACCAGGUGGCGAAGGCGGCUCGGCUGGACCGGUUCUGGACGGCUGAUGUGCGAAAGCGUGGGAGCGAACAGG